rnacentral:rRNA from 1 species
UACAGAGGAGCCAAGCGUUGUCCGGAUUGACUGGGCGUAAAGCGCACGCAGGCGGCCUGAUAAGUAGGGGGUGAAAUCCUGCGGCUUAACCGCAGGGCUGCCUUCUAAACUGUCAGGCUGGAGCACAGUAGAGGCAGGUGGAAUUCCCGGUGUAGCGGUGGAAUGCGUAGAGAUCGGGAAGAACAUCAGUGGCGAAGGCGGCCUGCUGGGCUGUUGCUGACGCUGAGGCGCGACAGCGUGGGGAGCAAACAGG